ensembl:lncRNA
UUCCCUUCCUGUUUAUCGCGAGAGUUGCUGCAGCGUUAAAGAGUUGACUUGCAGUGACCUCAUCUCUCCAGCAGCUGCAGCGCGACCGAGGCGGAGGCUGUCAAGCAACUUUUGUGUAUGAACUUCCAAGUUUUGAACGAUAGCAAAAGGAAGGAGAAACUGGAGUAAAGGGAACAACGGAUAAGAAAAGACAAUACUAUUUUGACGUUUUUGUCGUGGUGAAAAUCUAGAGACUCGACGCUCACCUUGUGGCCAAACAUUGUGAUAGAGGUUUUCCUGGAAUCUGUGUCUCUCUGAGAACGGCGGAGGUGGGGAGAGGAAAGGACAAUGACCCAAAACACACCUCCAGGCUGUGUAAGGGCUAUUUGACCAAGAAGGAGAGUGAUGGAGGGCCGCAUAAGAUGAC